rnacentral:rRNA from 1 species
GAUGAACGCUGGCGGCGUGCCUAAUACAUGCAAGUCGAGCGAACGGACGAGAAGCUUGCUUUUCUGAUGUUAGCGGCGGACGGGUGAGUAACACGUGGAUAACCUGCCUAUAAGACUGGGAUAACUUCGGGAAACCGGAGCUAAUACCGGAUAAUAUUUUGAACCGCAUGGUUCAUAAGUGAAAGACGGUCUUGCUGUCACUUAUAGAUGGAUCCGCGCUGCAUUAGCUAGUUGGUAAGGUAACGGCUUACCAAGGCAACGAUGCAUAGCCGACCUGAGAGGGUGAUCGGCCACACUGGAACUGAGACACGGUCCAGACUCCUACGGGAGGCAGCAGUAGGGAAUCUUCCGCAAUGGGCGAAAGCCUGACGGAGCAACGCCGCGUGAGUGAUGAAGGUCUUCGGAUCGUAAAACUCUGUUAUUAGGGAAGAACAUAUGUGUAAGUAACUGUGCACAUCUUGACGGUACCUAAUCAGAAAGCCACGGCUAACUACGUG